GAAAUCGAGCAGUUCUCGCAAGAAGUUAUUGUACUGACUGUAUCGUGCGUGUUUCUCAGGCACGUCAUUUUAGAAUUCAUUUAAUAGCACGUUCCUUCGAGAAGGAUCAAUCCAUUAGAUAUCUCUUCGUACAUUUUUGGAUAAUUUUAAAGAAAUUACACUCGAAAUGUUAAUGCAAUGUACAAAAGUUACUGAAGAAAAAAUGGAGGCUUAAUUAUGACGGAUGGAAUUAAAUAACAUUAAUGUUGAUAAUACUAUAGUAAUGGCGACGAUAGACGAUAGACGAUAGACGACGUUCGAGAAUGACAACGUAUUACGUAAUUCUACGAUAUUUUUAUUCCCUUGAUCAGAGAACACCGGAGCGAGCAGGCGUACAAAGAAUUUGUUCGCUGCUCAGGAUCGUAUGCUGAAUAUCUUAUAAUUUGAGAAAUUAUUCCACAGGAUGUUUUAUUCAACAUUUAAAUGAAAUAAAUCAUUCAAUAUGCAUACAUAAAUUUAUUUAUUACAACAAUUUUAUAACCCUGUUAAGUAUAAUUGUUUCUUAUAUAUAUUAUUAUAUACAACGGCUAAGGAAAUUAUGGCCGAAUAGAAAUGUAAGAUGGGACAUACGUAACUUAACAUAAAGCCGAAUUUACACUCUUU